GAUGAAGAACGCAGCGAAAUGUGAUAAGUAGUGUGAAUUGCAGAAUUCAGUGAAUCAUCGAAUCUUUGAACGCACAUUGCGCCCCUUGGUAUUCCAUGGGGCAUGCCUGUUCGAGCGUCAUUUGUACCUUCAAGCUUUGCUUGGUGUUGGGUGUUUGUCUCGCCUUUGCGUGUAGACUCGCCUUAAAAUAAUUGGCAGCCGGCGUAUUGAUUUCGGAGCGCAGUACAUCUCGCGCUUUGCACUCAUAACGACAGCGUCCAAAAGUACAUUUUACACUCUUGACCUCGGAUCAGGUAGGGAUACCCGCUGAACUUAAGCAUAUCAAUAAGCGGAGGA
rnacentral:misc_RNA from 1 species